CCAUACAAAGUUCUAAGACACGUGGACUGAGAUUCACUGUAAUGAUGGACAUCUGCUCAUGGGCAGAAUAAGGGGUGAGUUUGGACCAUACAGAGUUCUGGGAAAUUUACCACAAUGACGGACAUCUGCUCAUGGACAGAAUAAGGGGUGCGUUUGGACCAUACAGAGUUCUGGGAAAUUUACCACAAUGACGGACAUCUGCUCAUG